UACGUAGGGACCAAGCGUUGUUCGGAUUUACUGGGCGUAAGGGCGCGUAGGCGGCUUGUCAAGUCACUUGUGAAAUCUCUGGGCUUAACCCAGAACGGCCAAGUGAAACUGACAUGCUAGAGUGCAGAAGGGGCAAUCGGAAUUCUUGGUGUAGCGGUGAAAUGCGUAGAUAUCAGGAGGAACACCGGUGGCGAAGGCGGGAUCUCUGGGCCUUACCCUGACGCUGAGGCGCGAAAGCUAGGGGAGCAAACAGG
rnacentral:rRNA from 1 species